AGUGAACGCUGGCGGUAGGCCUAACACAUGCAAGUCGAACGGCAGCACAGUAAGAGCUUGCUCUUACGGGUGGCGAGUGGCGGACGGGUGAGGAAUACAUCGGAAUCUACUUUUUCGUGGGGGAUAACGUAGGGAAACUUACGCUAAUACCGCAUACGACCUACGGGUGAAAGCAGGGGAUCUUCGGACCUUGCGCGAUUGAAUGAGCCGAUGUCGGAUUAGCUAGUUGGCGGGGUAAAGGCCCACCAAGGCGACGAUCCGUAGCUGGUCUGAGAGGAUGAUCAGCCACACUGGAAGUGAGACACGGUCCAGACUCCUACGGGAGGGAGCAGUGGGGAAUAUUGGGCAAUGGGCGCAAGCCUGGUCCAGCCAUACCGCGUGGGUGAAGAAGGCCUUCGGGUUGUAAAGCCCUUUUGUUGGGAAAGAAAAGCAGCAGGUUAAGACCCCGCGGUUCUGACGGUACCCAAAGAAUAAGCACCGGCUAACUUCGUG
rnacentral:rRNA from 1 species